AGUGAAGAUUUCAAUAAACCUGGCCAAUUGAGAAAUGCAAAAUUUACAUCCGGCCAACAUCCACUCAUAUGAGAUAAGGCCUUUCUACAUCAAAGCUACAAUGUCAAGGAUCUCUUUGUCAUAGCGCCCAAAUUUCAUGCUUGUCUUUUAAACCUGAAAAUAACCAAGAAUUUUCAAGAUGUGUUUGUAAAAUCUGUGCAACAACGAUUGCUACCUAAAAAAUUCCAAAAAGUACUCACUUCUUCAAUUUGUACUAGUUGAAAAAAAACUAUAGGCCGAGUUUAAGGUAUUACCAUGGCUUUCGCUACAUUUUAGGGAAUUUGUUUUUUUGAUAUUAGAUGGAGAGAUAUGAAAUAUGAAGAAAAUAAGAUGUCAAAUGAGAAUAUGCAAACGGUGAUGUUGGUGGAAAGGUCGUGACCCUUGUAUCUCCUUUAGAAGUCAUUUUUCCAGAAUGAUGAAAUUCAAACGCCGUGAUCCAUUCGUAUGGGAUAAGUGAGUAAAGGAAAAACAAAAAUACAUAUGUAUGAACGAAGGAAGGAAAACAUAACUUUUAAAAAGAGAUGAUGCAUCCACUCCAUAGAGAUGGACAAAAGCUUUGAAGAUGACAAAUGGUUAUUAAAGCCCAAUCCGAAAAAUAUUUUCAGUUGCCUUUUCAACAUACAUGAUGUAGAAAUUCCUCACCAUUAUGACAGGCAUUAGAUUCUAUAUAUAAUUGCCAUAAGUCCUUCAAAAUUUUGCCCUUGGGUUCUCUUAUGUAAGAAAACGGUUGUUUAUUAAUAGUAAUGACUUUUGAAAUUCUUUUUCAAAAGACAUGACGUUUGAACUCCUAUAUAAUUAUUAAAUUAUUAUUACAAUAAAAAGAAUGAGUUUUAGAAAUGUGAAAAAAUGGAGAAAAAAGAUAAUUUGAAAUCCUUGUUUAGGAGAGUGCUACGUCACCGUGCCAAAGUACCU
rnacentral:lncRNA from 1 species